GUUGAACGCUGGCGGCAUGCCUUACACAUGCAAGUCGAACGGUAACAGGUCUUCGGAUGCUGACGAGUGGCGAACGGGUGAGUAAUACAUCGGAACGUGCCUAGUAGUGGGGGAUAACUACUCGAAAGAGUGGCUAAUACCGCAUGAGAUCUACGGAUGAAAGCAGGGGAUCGCAAGACCUUGUGCUACUAGAGCGGCCGAUGGCAGAUGAGGUAGUUGGAGGGAUAAAAGCUUACCAAGCCGACGAUCUGUAGCUGGUCUGAGAGGACGAUCAGCCACACUGGGACGGGGGCACGGCCCAGACUCCUACGGGAAGGAGCAGUGGGGAAUUUUGGACAAUGGGCGCAAGCCUGAUCCAGCAAUGCCGCGUGCAGGAUGAAGGCCUUCGGGUUGUAAACUGCUUUUGUACGGAACGAAAAGCCCUGGGUUAAUACCCUGGGGUCAUGACGGUACCGUAAGAAUAAGCACCGGCUAACUACGUGCCAGCAGCCGCCGCCGUAA
rnacentral:rRNA from 1 species